rnacentral:rRNA from 1 species
GAACGCUAGCUACAGGCUUAACACAUGCAAGUCGAGGGGCAGCAUUUCAGUUUGCUUGCAAACUGGAGAUGGCGACCGGCGCACGGGUGAGUAACACGUAUCCGACCUGCCGAUAACUCGGGGAUAGCCUUUCGAAAGAAAGAUUAAUACCCGAUGGUAUAAUCAGACCGCAUGGUCUUGUUAUUAAAGAAUUUCGGUUAUCGAUGGGGAUGCGUUCCAUUAGGCAGUUGGUGAGGUAACGGCUCACCAAACCUUCGAUGGAUAGGGGUUCUGAGAGGAAGGUCCCCCACAUUGGAACUGAGACACGGUCCAAACUCCUACGGGAGGCAGCAGUGAGGAAUAUUGGUCAAUGGGCGCAGGCCUGAACCAGCCAAGUAGCGUGAAGGAUGACUGCCCUAUGGGUUGUAAACUUCUUUUAUAUGGGAAUAAAGUUUUCCACGUGUGGAAUUUUGUAUGUACCAUAUGAAUAAGGAUCGGCUAACUCCGUGCCAGCAGCCGCGGUAAUACGGAGGAUCCGAGCGUUAUCCGGAUUUAUUGGGUUUAAAGGGAGCGUAGGUGGACAGUUAAGUCAGUUGUGAAAGUUUGCGGCUCAACCGUAAAAUUGCAGUUGAUACUGGCUGUCUUGAGUACAGUAGAGGUGGGCGGAAUUCGUGGUGUAGCGGUGAAAUGCUUAGAUAUCACGAAGAACUCCGAUUGCGAAGGCAGCUCACUGGACUGCAACUGACACUGAUGCUCGAAAGUGUGGGUAUCAAACAGGAUUAGAUACCCUGGUAGUCCACACAGUAAACGAUGAAUACUCGCUGUUUGCGAUAUACAGUAAGCGGCCAAGCGAAAGCAUUAAGUAUUCCACCUGGGGAGUACGCCGGCAGCGGUGAAACUCAAAGGAAUUGACGGGGGCCCGCACAAGCGGAGGAACAUGUGGUUUAAUUCGAUGAUACGCGAGGAACCUUACCCGGGCUUAAAUUGCAUUUGAAUAAUCUGGAAACAGGUUAGCCGCAAGGCAAAUGUGAAGGUGCUGCAUGGUUGUCGUCAGCUCGUGCCGUGAGGUGUCGGCUUAAGUGCCAUAACGAGCGCAACCCUUAUCUUUAGUUACUAACAGGUCAUGCUGAGGACUCUAGAGAGACUGCCGUCGUAAGAUGUGAGGAAGGUGGGGAUGACGUCAAAUCAGCACGGCCCUUACGUCCGGGGCUACACACGUGUUACAAUGGGGGGUACAGAAGGCAGCUACCUGGUGACAGGAUGCUAAUCCCAAAAGCCUCUCUCAGUUCGGAUCGAAGUCUGCAACCCGACUUCGUGAAGCUGGAUUCGCUAGUAAUCGCGCAUCAGCCAUGGCGCGGUGAAUACGUUCCCGGGCCUUGUACACACCGCCCGUCAAGCCAUGAAAGCCGGGGGUACCUGAAGUACGUAACCGCAAGGAGCGUCCUAGGGUAAAACUGGUAAUUGGGGCUA